GAUGAACGCUGGCGGCGUGCUUAACACAUGCAAGUCGAACGAAGGUGUAGUGCUUCGGUGCUGCACUUAAGUGGCAGACGGGUGAGUAACGCGUGGGCAACCUACCUCCGAGGUGGGGGAUACCAUCCCGAAAGGGGUGUUAAUCCCGCAUGAAAUGGUAUUGACCUAGGUCAAUAUGAUGAAAGCUGGGGAUUCUGGAAACAGGACCUGGUGCUUGGAGAGGGGCUCGCGUCAGAUUAGCUAGUUGGUGGGGUAAUGGCUCACCAAGGCAUCGAUCUGUAGCCGGCCUGAGAGGGUGAUCGGCCACACUGGAACUGAGACACGGUCCAG
rnacentral:rRNA from 1 species